AAAAGUACAUCCAGGGAAUCCAUGAGGAUUGGGGAAAGUGGCGGAAAGUCUGAACUUAGAAGCCAAAGCUGCUGCCUCUUCUCUAGCCUGUCUAGCAGAGAUGACACCAUAGAACUUGCCAUUUAUUUCUCUUGUCCUGAGAAGUUCUUCAAGUAGCACUUUACAAAUAUGCAAAGGCAAGGCAGAGUGAGAGACCACCAUUAGUCUGUUUAAAGCAAGAUGGAUUUCUGCUCUAGGUUGAUCCAUGACUACAUGGCUCAGGUGUUUCGUGAAGAAUCACACGUCGGAUUUCAGAGAGAACCUGAAGCAUGUUCUGAUGGAGCAAUAAAUCACAUGCAGGACUAUUUUAAUGCUAAUAAUGUCUAUAACAGAUGCCAUUAUGCACCUAACUUUCCAUCAUGGGCUGUGCUGUUAGCUAUUAGACUAAUAAAACACCUACGGCUCCCUACGGUCCUGUAUUGCCCCAGUACAUUUAUAAUUUGCAAUAAUCUCUGAAUUAUCUCUGAUGCAAUAAGGCAAAUGUGCAGCUUGGGUAAAAUGUAACUUUGGUGGGAAAGAGGGCAUUUUCACACUGUCUGGGAAUCUGUCUCUACAGAUACAGUUUUGGCAAUAUUCACUGCUCUGGUGGCGUAGCUGGCUUUUGCUGCUGGCCAGAAUGUUCAGGAAGAGUUGGAGCACUACAAGUGUCUCACAAAUUCACUCUUGUUUUUGCUGAACUUUGAAUGCAACUUUAAUUUUUUUUUAAUAUUUAUUAU